GUAAAGUAUAAUGUUCCACUGUAAAAAAUACGCCUUUAGAAAAGAAACUUAUCAUUUAUAAAUUUGUGAACCUACUAAGGUAAAGCAGAUUUUAAUGCUUUAAUCCCAGGUGAAUGAGAUGAGUGAAGCAAAUCCUGAACAUUAUAGUUACAUAAUGUUGUAAGGGCCACAAGAUUUCCAAUUUAUUCCCAUUUCAUAGAUAAAAAUAUGUAGACUUCAAAUGAUAAUCGACUUGUCCAAGUCUUCAAGGUAGUAAAUGGUACCCCAAAGAUUUAAACUUAGAGGUCUUCUGACUCUAAUAUGAAAUUAGAACAAAACUUGCAUUUUUUUAAAUGAUACUGUAUAUAUUUUUAAAAUCGCUUUAUUCAAUUUUUUUCUGUAUUUUGUUUAUGGAAUAGUUCUAUUUCUUUUAUGAUUAUAAAAGUAAUACAUUCUCACUUAAAAAAAAUUUUAGCACAAAAAGAUUAAAAACCCCCGUGAACCUCUGCAUCUAGAAGUAACAGCAAAUGAUUUUUAUGGACAAAUUACAUAGGCAGUGCCAGAGCCUUAGGUCCUGUAACCUGAUGUUAUAAGAACAAAAUAUCCUGGACAAAAUGAUCUAAGCCCCAGAUCUUAGGUGGCUGUUUUUCUCUAAGACUGAAGAAAAUGUUAUUACAAUUACAUGAAAAUUUGGGAACAAAAAUUAUAAUACGAAGACUUACUCCAAGAUUUGGGGGGCACAUGUAUAGUUCACUGUAAAUACUAUAAUCCAAAGUAUGUCUGUAUUUCGUUACAGAUAGUAUAGAGAUGGCAUUUCAGAAUAACAUAGUUGCAUAAUAUUUUCAGCUCAAAAUACCAAAAAUUCUGCUUAUUUUGGUAGCAAAUUAGCUUUAGUUGAAAAUUAGUAUAUGUUUAGUUUUCAAAUAUUAAUAAGUGAUCAGAUUAUAUAAUGAUCAGGAGUCAGAAAAUGGCUUGUAAGAGCAGUGAUUUAAAAGAGGAAGUCACUUUAAAGAACAGAACUGGAAGAAAACAAGUACCCACGUCUUGGUCAUUCAGAAAACAACCCUCCCUGGAGUCCUUGAACCUGUUGGAAAUAGCACAACCAGCCCUUCAUUCCCAGCAUUGUGACCUCUGAGACUGUCACUUAUUUCUUUAUAAUGCGUUUCUCUGAAGUAUACUCUAGCAGCUAGAAUUCUAUAAUAGCUCUUCUUCCUAUGUGUGCCUAUACUUCACCGGUUCUCUGGUGCUGUUGUGAGCGAAUGACCACAGUAUUAUUUUCACAGCUGAAGAAAGUAUAGCAGAGCAGUUAGUAUAGUUUGUUCUUUUGUUCUAGGCCUCACUUUUAACUUUGGGACUAAAAAGUGUCACAGAGAGCUUACCACAACUUAGUACAAUGGCAUUUAGAUUAGGAGUUAAAAUGAGUCUGGUAUCUCUUCGGUAUUAUAUACUAGACUUUGUGCUAAGCAUUUUACAUGUUAUCUCACAAUCCUCAAAAAACCCUAGGAGUUAAUAUUUAUAUCACGUUUCUACAUAAGAAAACAGUCUUGGAGAGGUAGCUCAAGGUUCAAAGCGUUUGAGCUGGCCAUAAGUGACUCCAUAGCCCAUGGUGCUGAACGCCGCAGCCUGCUAGCCAGUUAAGCAACACGUAGUACUUUUUUCCCUUUUAACUGCUUAAAUAGCAAACAAGAGAAAGCAAUAGGGUGAAGGUAAUGAAGUCAUAGAGAACACUGAGGGGGUGUCCUAAGUGAGAAAUGGCAAGACACAAAUGAAAAUGAGUAAAAAUGGUGUCCUAAAGUGCUAUCAAAUUUUGCAUUUGAACGAGAGAUUUGGGUGUCUGGUGAUGGAAGCAUUAACAGAUAAGUGAGGUGAUAUAUGGAAAGCUCUUUACUGAACUAGAAAAAGUAUACCAUUGAUACAGUUCUCCCUGAGCUGUUUGGCUUAAUGGCAGAAUAGACACGUUUAUUUUUUAUUUUUUUUAAGUUUGUAUAACUUUGCAAUUAGCGCUCCAAAUAGCUCUUAUUGCCUACAACCUCUAAAAUACAGAAAAUAUGAGCUUAAAGUUACUGGCUUUGCAUAAAUGUAAACAUUUAGAUUCUACAAGUUCUUAUUUCCAAUGUAGCAACGUCAAAAACAAGGUGCAAAGAAUGUGAAAUCUUUUUUUUUUUUCUUUUUGGUUAAGUAAGACCUUCGCCAACAUGUUGCCAACUGGAACCAACAAAAGUGUAAAGAAAAAUCUUUUACUCAGGUGUUUGUUUUGUUUUUAGGUCUGCCACUAACCACUUCACUCCUAUUUCAUCCCUUAAAAUAGCGCAGAACCUGUUGUCCCAGAUCGUUUUACAGAUCGUGGUUUGAUCUGUAGAAUUUGAUACGAAAUAGUCUCCCUGUAAUAUAAAAGCUAUACCUUAUCACAAACCUCCUAUCAAACGCCUUCUGGAGCUUUGUGGUGUUCAUACCUUUCAUUUGGACAUAAUUUUCUUACCUGUAGUGGACGGUUUUAUCCAAGACGCUGCCCAGACACCCGAUCUCCUUGUACUAUUUAAUUUCUUUUAUUCCCAUGUUUCGGCUCCAUUGCGGGACGGAGAGGAAAGACAGGUGCCUGAGAGCAGCACUGACCAGAUAGAUCCUCGGCGGGGAAAAGAACAGGGAUGCGGAGAGGACCGGCCACCCCUUGGAUCCCCGGUGCCGCUGGUUAUACAUGAUGAGGAUGCGAAACACCAGCCUCUGGGAGAAACUUCCCCAAACCCCGCCCGCCGCGCUGCAGGCCACGCCCCGGUACGUGCUCGGGCGCAGCACCGCAGCCCCGGCCCGGCUCCGGGCUCCCAGGCCGGGUCCGCUCCGCCUACGUGUUAGAGCUCAUGCGGGAGGCGCGGCCCCUCCCGGCCUCUAGCGGGGCCGGGCGGGUGCGCUCGUGGUCAGCAGUGCCCUUUGUCUUCCGUGAUUUGUCUAAUUCUGACGCCUGGCCCUUGCCCAAACUUUUUUGGGGGAUGAAACGGUUGGGAGGUUCAGGAACUGACACUCGUGUUGCUGCGAACCUGUCUGCAGAAUUCCCAAAUACUUUGGGAUGUGAAGCUGUGCUUUGUGGAACAGAAAAAUAUCUGAGGUCUCCUACCAGAUGGGACCUUGGUGAACUAUAUAACAGAUUUUAAAAAUUAGUCGUCUACUAAUCUGGUCAAAAAUUAGAAGACUGUUUCGGUUAUUUAAAUAUAUUUCCCAUAAGGCACUCAAAGAUUUAGUUUAUUUUAAAUAAAGCACUUUGAGAUAUCCCUGAUUAAGUAAAUUGGAACAUUAGCUGCCCCAGGUGUUUUUUUGCUUUGUUUUGUUUUGUUUGUCGUGUUUUCUGAAUGUUGUGUGCCAGCAUCCUAUUGAGGCCAGCUAUUGAGAAUCCUUUGGGAGAAGAUAAUCUUGUUGGACAGAAGGGAGGUGAGUUUAUGGAAUACGGAAAAGCUUGGGGCAUUUAAGUUUAAUCUCCUGUAAUUGGUAUCUUACGAUUUUGCAGUUUGUAGUAAAAGUACAAAGAAAGGUAUUGUUUAAAAUAAAUAACUUCAUCUGUGCAUAUCUACAGUUGUCAACAUUUUACAUUUUAUUUUAAAUUGUUUGCUUCAGGAAAAUUCACUGUUUAUGGUUUUUCAAACAGACUGUGAAAGUAAGAGUCCAUUUUUAAAAAGUGGAGUGUUUUAAAUAUUUUUUACUAAUAAA
rnacentral:lncRNA from 1 species